UCUUAAUAGAGGGAAGUACAUACAAGAUGGAGUUAAGGAAAGGAAAGUAGCGAUAGGAAGUAAAUGUUUCUUAAUAGAGGGAAGUACAUACAAGAAGGAGUUAAGGAAAGGAAAGUAGCGAUAGGAGGUAAAUGUUUCUUAAUAGAGGGAAGUACAUACAAGAAGGAGUUAAGGAAAGGAAAGUAGCGAUAGGAGGUAAAUGUUUCUUAAUAGAGGGAAGUACAUACAAGAAGGAGUUAAGGAAAGGAAAGUAGCGAUAGGAGGUAAAUGUUUCUUAAUAGAGGGAAGUACAUACAAGAAGGAGUUAAGGAAAGGAAAGUAGCGAUAGGAAGUAAAUGUUUCUUAAUAGAGGGAAGUACAUACAAGAAGGAGUUAAGGAAAGGAAAGUAGCGAUAGGAGGUAAAUGUUUCUUAAUAGAGGGAAGUACAUACAAGAAGGAGUUAAGGAAAGGAAAGUAGCGAUAGGAGGUAAAUGUUUCUUAAUAGAGGGAAGUACAUACAAGAAGGAGAAAAAAAGUACAGAGGAUGUAUCAAUUUGGGUUCUCUCGGACCAUAAAAAAAAUACGACAGGAGGUAAAGGAGAGGUAGCAAUCAAAGGUAAACAGUUCUUAGUACAGAAAAAUACAUACAAAAAGCGAGUUAUACGCAGAGAGAAUGUAUCAAUUUGGGUCCCUCCGAAAAGUGCUAAAGCGACAGCAGGUAAAGGAAAGGUAAGCCGUGGGUGUAAAUUGCCGGAAUAUUAGCUCGAUGAGGAAAAUUACAGGUAGAGUAAUUGAAAAUGUGAUUACCUGUUUAGGAUUGCGGUAAAAUUGGCGGUAUUACUAUUUUGGAACCCUGGCGAAUACACGAAUCAUACACGAAGGCAAUUAAGGGAAGAUUUACUGGAUAAUUUCUUGACUUAGACGAAGAUUAAAAACGCAGGAAAAAUCGAUCGUAUUAAAAGAAAGAGGAAAAAACAUAAAACGGCUCUUUUAGUAUUUUUGCAGGGCAGGAAAUAAAUAGCAAAGGAAAUAUUUUAACGUGAGAGGAAGAUUUUAAUUAGGAUAUAAAUUUAAGUUGAAGAAGAAUGCAACUAGUACAACACCUUUCGUAUAUAGGUAAGAGAGAACGAGAGCGAGAGCGAGAGAGAGAGAGAGAGAGAGAGAGAGAGAGAGAGAAUCCUUCAUAUUUUCACUUUCACUCUUUCUUCCUAACCUUACCUCACCUGUCUCCUUUCCCUUUCCCUCCUUUCUCCAUUUACCUGUUCUACCUCUUUCUUCUACCUCACCUUUCCUCCGUAUCUCCGUAUCUUAUAUUCUCCUCUUCACGUUUCCUCUCUUCCUCCAAUUCCUUCAUUUACCUUCCUCCACUCCCCUUUCCUCAUCUCUUGCUCCUCCUCCUUCAUUUACUUUUCUCUCUCUCACCUUUCCUCACCUCUUUCUCUCCUUUAAUCUUAUAUCUUCUCCCCUUUUCCUUCCUUACCUUACACUACUUCCUUAUUCUUAACUUCCUUUCUUCCUUACCUUCCUUCAUCUCCUUCCGUUUUUUACCCUUUGUUUCUUCCUUUCUUAUUUAACCUUUCAUUUCUCUCUUCCAUUCUUAUCCUCUUCUAUCUUUCUUCCUUUCCCUUCCCUUGCCUUUCUUUCUUAUUCUCAGUUCUCUAUAAUUCUUCCCUUCCCUUCCUUUGCCUUCGUCUGUUAUCCUCCUUUAUAGCUCCUCCCUUCCCUUGCCUUCUUUUCUUCCUUUCCCUUCCCUUGUCUUCCUCUCUUAUCUUCCUCUAUAUCUCUUCUUUUCCUUGCCUUACUUUCAUCCCUUCCCUUCCCUUCCUUUCCUCCCUUUCCCUUAAAUUAUAUAACUUACCUCUUACCUCAAAUCGUACCCUUACCGUUCCUUCUCUCAUUCCUUUACCCUCUUUCCCUCCCUCCACUUCAAUUUCCCCAUCACCUACCUCUCUCCCUUCCUCACCCUCCCCUUUCAUCCCCUCUCCUCCCUCUCCCCCUCCCCCCCCCGCACUCAAUCAACCAGGAAAGUGGCCGCCACACAAUUUUCAAAGUCUAAUUCAUCCAAGAUCGGCCGGAUUUUUAAUUAGUUCCAAAAGUAAGAAAUUGGGAAAUUAAUAUUAUGUUCAUUACCAGGAAAGAAGCUAUCAGAAUUUUUUCAGCCUAUCUUUCUUGAAGGGAGGAAAGGAGACGCCCGUAGCACCGUGUGGG